GAUGAACGCUGGCGGCGUGCCUAAUACAUGCAAGUCGAGCGAACAGACGAGGAGCUUGUUCCUCUGACGAUAGCGGCGGACGGGCGAGUAACACGUGGAUAACCUACCUAUAAGACUGGGAGAAAUUCGGGAAACCGGAGCUAAUACCGGAUAAUAUAUUGAACCGCAUGGUUCAAUAGUUAAAGAAGGGUUUGGUGUCACUUAUAGAUGGAUUCGCGCCGCAUUAGCUAGUUGGUAAGGUAACGGCUUACCAAGGCAACGAUGCGUAGCCGACCUGAGAGGGUGAUCGGCCACACUGGAACUGAGACACGGUCCAGACUCCUACGGGAGGCAGCAGUAGGGAAUCUUCCGCAAUGGGCGAAAGCUUGACGGAGCAACGCCGCGUGAGUGAUGAAGGUCUUCGGAUCGUAAAACUCUGUUAUUAGGGAAGAACAAAUGUGUAAGUAACUAUGCACGUCUUGACGGUACCUAAUCAGAAAGCCACGGCUAACUACGUG
rnacentral:rRNA from 1 species